CUACACAUGCAAGUCGAACGGUAACAGGAAGCAGCUUGCUGCUUCGCUGACGAGUGGCGGACGGGUGAGUAAUGUCUGGGAAACUGCCUGAUGGAGGGGGAUAACUACUGGAAACGGUAGCUAAUACCGCAUAACGUCGCAAGACCAAAGAGGGGGACCUUCGGGCCUCUUGCCAUCGGAUGUGCCCAGAUGGGAUUAGCUAGUAGGUGGGGUAACGGCUCACCUAGGCGACGAUCCCUAGCUGGUCUGAGAGGAUGACCAGCCACACUGGAACUGAGACACGGUCCAGACUCCUACGGGAGGCAGCAGUGGGGAAUAUUGCACAAUGGGCGCAAGCCUGAUGCAGCCAUGCCGCGUGUAUGAAGAAGGCCUUCGGGUUGUAAAGUACUUUCAGCGGGGAGGAAGGCGAUAAGGUUAAUAACCUUGUCGAUUGACGUUACCCGCAGAAGAAGCACCGGCUAACUCCGUGCCAGCAGCCGCGGUAAUACGGAGGGUGCAAGCGUUAAUCGGAAUUACUGGGCGUAAAGCGCACGCAGGCGGUCUGUCAAGUCGGAUGUGAAAUCCCCGGGCUCACCUGGGGAACUGCAUUCGAA
rnacentral:rRNA from 1 species